rnacentral:rRNA from 1 species
GAUGAACGCUGGCGGCGUGCCUAAUACGUGCAAGUCGAACGGCAGCACGGGUGCUUGCACCUGGUGGCGAGUGGCGAACGGGUGAGUAAUAUAUCGGAACGUACCUUAUUGUGGGGGAUAACGCAGCGAAAGCUGUGCUAAUACCGCAUAAUCCCUAAGGGGGAAAGCGGGGGACCGUAAGGCCUCGCGCAAUUAGAGCGGCCGAUACCUGAUUAGCUAGUUGGUGAGGUAAAGGCUCACCAAGGCAACGAUCAGUAGCUGGUCUGAGAGGACGAUAGGCCACACUGGGACUGAGACACGGCCCAGACUCCUACGGGAGGCAGCAGUGGGGAAUUUUGGACAAUGGGGGCAACCCUGAUCCAGCAAUGCCGCGUGAGUGAAGAAGGCCUUCGGGUUGUAAAGCUCUUUUGUCAGGGAAGAAACAGCAGCUCUAACACAGUUUGCGAAUGACGGUACCUGAAGAAUAAGCACCGGCUAACUACGUGCCAGCAGCCGCCGUAA